CAGUAGGGAAUAUUGGGCAAUGGCCGCGAGGCUGACCCAGCCAUGCCGCGUGCAGGAAGAAGGCCUUCUGGGUUGUAAACUGCUUUUAUAUGGGAAGAAAACGCCCCUGCGGGGGUAACUGACGGUACCAUAUGAAUAAGCACCGGCUAACUCCGUGCCAGCCGCCG
rnacentral:rRNA from 1 species